rnacentral:tRNA from 1 species
UGCCCCGUGGCUGAGUUGGUUACAGCGGUUGACUGUUAGUUAUUAAUAAUUAAUUAAUUUAAUUAAUUACUAUUACGUAAUAUAUCAGACGGUCGAGAGUUCGAGUCUCUCCGGGGCAG